CAGAACCGGCAUGAGGAAGAAGGGCCUGUGAAAGGCUGUGGGAAUGUGUAAGGUGUACACAUAAAUAGUCAUCAUGGAUUCGGCAGUGCUUAAAGAGCUACCUCCUCAACAAGCCCAGAGUCUGCUUGGAAGAAUAGUAAAAAUAGUAGCAGGGCUGUUUCUGGAAGACUGCCCAUAAUUCAGAGGGAGGAUAGAGAGGAAGAAUAUAUUUGGAGGCAAG
rnacentral:lncRNA from 1 species